UUUGGAAGUAGAGAGCCCACGUGCAGCCCCAGCUUGGUCCCUCCCUGGAGCUCAGGGUUGAGGUCCCUCCCUGGCAUCCUGGGCAGGAGACCCCCUGACACUGCCUCCAUCUCAGUUGAAGGAAGGAAGAUCUAGUGCCUUCUUCUGGAGGACUUGGUGAGGGAUGGAGGAGGGGGGAUGUUCAGAGCAUGUCUGCUCCACAUGCUGCCUGGGCCAAUACUGAGCACACCGCACUGGGCCACCUCACUGAACCCCUCUGAUCGGACACCCAGAGCAGUGCUAUGCCCUUCCAAGUGGCUGCCCAGGAGUUUCCACUGGGACGUGAAAAGGAAGGAGGAGAAAUCAUCUUUCUGUUUGGUUUUAUCUCAUCCUUUACAAGUUUUAUCUGUGUUUACGGGGCAGGAGUGUGUUUGCACAGAACUAUGGUAUAUAAUUUUUAACCGGAUGCGACUACCUAUCUCAGGAGUGCCCACUUGAACUCGGUCUUUACGGAAGAGGGUAUGUCAUCAGUGACAUCUGGAGAGGAUCGUCCAGAGGGGACAACCGAGUCACGUAGCCGGCCCUUCUUCACUCUCUGGCCUCCCUCGUCUUCCUGGCUUCAUCAUCUAACAGUCUCCUCCCUUCCUCCCCUCCCGAAGCCUCCGCGCGACAUCAUGGUUCCACUGCCCGUCAACUUCCUGUUGCUGGAAUAUGCUUUGUGCUUUCAGGUCUGCAGCGCUGGCAGUCUUCCGUCUGGGGGCCCAACCUUCCUUGAGCACCUGCAAAUUCAGAUGCCCCCGGCUCCUCUUCCCUGCCGCUUACAACCCCCUGCAGUUGCCUUCAUUCACCUAAGUCACUCUAUUGUGGUCAUUUACCUCACCUGCUGGUGCAUGUGUCUAGACGAGAAGCCCCUUGAGGGCCAGACCCAGGCCCUAGUCACAUCUACAUCCCAUCCACAUCCCGAACAGACAGCAGGAACCUCGGGACAGACCCAGCGGUGCUUGUGGGAGCUGGCGGGGCCGUUUCGGCCUUCUUCUGCAGACCCCGUCUGGGAGGGGAUGGGGCGGCUGAGCCAUGUGCACCACCCUCUUCCUGCUCAGCACCUUGGCCAUGCUCUGGCGCCGUCGGUUCGCCAACCGGGUCCAACCAGAGCCCAGCGGACUCGAUGGGGCGGUCGUGGGCAGCAACGUGGACACAGACCUCCAGUCCUCAGGCAGGGAGAAAGAGACUCUGAAGUAAGUCCUCAUCUCUUCAGGCAGAGCUCGGCCCCGGGGACUGCGAUCAGCUGGCAGAGGCAGGAAUGGCCAGGCGUGGGUCUGUGUGAGCGCAUGUGCGCGCCCACACGCGUUUAUUGCCAUAUGCAGAAGCCGGCUGAACGAUGCAUUAAAAGAAAUUAUUUAACGUGUUCCUUGGCCAUCUAUUUAACAAGCACGUACCGGGAGCCUGCAACAUACACACCUUGUGGUAGGUGCCAGCGAUGAAGGGGGACAGUGCCCGACCUGCCAGUGAGGACGACAGAAAGAUCCUGGCCGAGGGAGCCCAGUCGCGCCCGCUCAGCCACUGCCUGGUCAUAUGACCUUUCCUUCUCCGGACCUCAGUCUCCCCAUUUACCAGGCAUGUGCUGAGUCGAACCCAAGUGGGCUGGUGCCAGGAUGUAAAGGACUGAUGACCACCCUCAGAGAAAGAACCGUCUGGUAAAAUGAAGGCGAUGGACCGCUUGACCUCUGGGGGCCCUCCAGACUCUCCCGAUCAAAAGAGACUAUAAUGGACUGUCUUUGGAGAUGCUGGCAGUGAUCCGCCCACUCGGCAAACGUUUAUGGAGCGCCUGUGUGCCAGGCACUGUGGAUGCAGAAAUGAAGAAUUCCUGCCACAGACAAUCAGGAAAUUGGGCCAAGCAGAAGAAACAGACGCUUGACAACAGGCAGCACACAGGCUGGUGACCCCAGGACUGUCUCAGCAUCUGCCUGUUCCCUGCCUGUGGCAGGGGGAGGGGAAACCAAGCGGACCGCCGUGGUCUUGUCCGGGUGAGAGACGAGAUCAGAGCUCAAGAGAGCGUGGCGUUCCUAAGGAUAUGCACACGUCGGUGGGAUCCCCAAACAGACACGGGGAAGGUGAUCCGAUGGAGGAAAAAAAAAAAAAGCCCUUUGGAGAGAAUACAGAAAGCGUUAGCCGUCACAGAAACACGGAAAGAUUGGACUUGAUCGAAUUCUUGGAAAGACACUAUUUGCCAAGCAAAAAUCUGAGAAAGGACCUGUAUCCAAAAUAUACAAAGAAGUUUUACAAUUCAAUAAGAAGACAGCCCAGGGAAAGGGGGAGGGUUUUGAUAGACACUUCACAAGAAGGUAUCCAUACGGCCAAUAAACACAUAAAAAAAGAUACACAGUAGUGUGAGUCAUCAAGGAAAUUAAAUGCAAAUUAAAAAACAUGCAAAUGAAAACCACAUUGAGAUACUAGUUCACGCUCACAUGAAUGCGUUAAGAAGACAGACCAUAACAGGCGUUGGUGAAGGUACGGAGCAGCUGUUACCCUGGAAGACACUGCUGGGAAACCAGUUUGGCUGUUUCCUAGCAAGUUAUCCAAGAGGAAUGAAAACACAGGGCCACACCAAGGUUCGUACAGAGGUGUUCACAGCAGUGUUAUUAAUAACGGCUCCAAAGUGGAAACAACCCGAAUAUCCAUCAACAGGUGAAUGAAUAAACGAGGGCUGUACGGAAUUGUGGUCAGCAAUGAAAAGGCGACGGACCACUCUGUGGGCCACAACCCGGGGCACCGCGAGGAGCCAGGCACAAAAGAACACCCUCCUGUAUGAAUCCGUUUAUAGGAGAUUCUAGAACAGGCAGAACUAAUCUGCAGCGACAGAAAGCAGAUCAGUGGUUGCCUGGGGCCAGGGCUGGAUCUGGAGACUGAAAUAAAACCCGCAGGUGCUCUUCAGGGCGAUGACAGGGUUCUAAAUCGUCACCGGGGUGGCGGUUACGCGGGUGUAUCACUUACUAGACUAUCGAAUUGUACAUUUUAAAUGGAUGCGUUUGGUUGUAUGUAAAUUACACCUCAAUAAAGAUGACUUAAAGAGUAAAAAAAAAAAAAAAUCAAUGAAGACCU